rnacentral:snoRNA from 1 species
AUCCCAUGGUGUGGACAAUUUUUAAUCAUCAUGUUUAAACGCUCGAAUGCUUCAUGGAACAUUUCGCCUUGUUGUUGUUGAAAGCUCCUCAAUCCUUUUCUCGCAGCAU